UGGGGAAUUUUGGACAAUGGGCGAAAGCCUGAUCCAGCAAUGCCGCGUGUGUGAAGAAGGCCUUCGGGUUGUAAAGUACUUUUGUCCGGAAAGAAAUCCUUGGCUCUAAUACAGUCGGGGGAUGACGGUACCGGAAGAAUAAGCACCGGCUAACUACGUGCCAGCAGCCGCGGUAAUACGUAGGGUGCAAGCGUUAAUCGGAAUUACUGGGCGUAAAGCGUGCGCAGGCGGUUUGCUAAGACCGAUGUGAAAUCCCCGGGCUCAACCUGGGAACUGCAUUGGUGACUGGCAGGCUAGAGUAUGGCAGAGGGGGGUAGAAUUCCACGUGUAGCAGUGAAAUGCGUAGAGAUGUGGAGGAAUACCGAUGGCGAAGGCAGCCCCCUGGGCCAAUACUGACGCUCAUGCACGAAAGCGUGGGGAGCAAACAGGAUUAGAUACCCUGGUAGUCCACGCCCUAAACGAUGUCAACUAGUUGUUGGGGAUUCAUUUCCUUAGUAACGUAGCUAACGCGUGAAGUUGACCGCCUGGGGAGUACGGUCGCAAGAUUAAAACUCAAAUGAAUUGACGGGGUCAAGCUG
rnacentral:rRNA from 1 species